AAUAUUGGUCAAUGGACGCAAGUCUGAACCAGCCAUGCCGCGUGCAGGAAGACUGNCCNNUGGGUNGNAAACUGCUUUUGUACNNNNNCAAACCCUUCUCCGUGUAGGAGGCUGAGUGUACCGUAAGAAUAAGGAUCGGCUAACUCCGUGCCAGCAGCCGCGGUAAUACGGAGGAUCCAAGCGUUAUCCGGAAUCAUUGGGUUUAAAGGGUCCGUAGGCGGCCUUAUAAGUCAGCGGUGAAAGUUUUUGGCUUAACCAAAAAAUUGCCGUUGAUACUGUAGGGCUUGAAUUUUUGUGAAGUAACUAGAAUAUGUAGUGUAGCGGUGAAAUGCUUAGAUAUUACAUGGAAUACCAAUUGCGAAGGCAGGUUACUAACAAACGAUUGACGCUGAUGGACGAAAGCGUGGGUAGCGAACAG
rnacentral:rRNA from 1 species